rnacentral:rRNA from 1 species
CAGUGGGGAAUAUUGCACAAUGGGCGCAAGCCUGAUGCAGCCAUGCCGCGUGUAUGAAGAAGGCCUUCGGGUUGUAAAGUACUUUCAGCAGUGAGGAAGGUGGGUAUGUUAAUAGCAUACUCAUUUGACGUUAGCUGCAGAAGAAGCACCGGCUAACUCCGUGCCAGCAGCCGCGGUAAUACGGAGGGUGCGAGCGUUAAUCGGAAUUACUGGGCGUAAAGCGCAUGCAGGUGGUUUGUUAAGUCAGAUGUGAAAGCCCCGGGGCUCAACCUCGGAAUUGCAUUUGAAACUGGCAAACUAGAGUACUGUAGAGGGGGUAGAAUUUCAGGUGUAGCGGUGAAAUGCGUAGAGAUCUGAAGGAAUACCGGUGGCGAAGGCGGCCCCCUGGACAGAUACUGACACUCAGAUGCGAAAGCGUGGGGAGCAAACAGGAUUAGAUACCCUGGUAG